rnacentral:lncRNA from 1 species
CAUAAAAACUCACUUUUCCAAGUUUCUAAUCAAAUCGUUUUACUUUACUCCCCCAACUUUAGAUUCCAAAACCAAAUUAAUUCAAUAAUGCUCCCUACUUAGACAUAAGCAAAAGGCAAAAUUUGCAAACAACUCGGUUUGAGGGUUCGAUUGACACGAAAGAAAUUAGGAUUCAUUUAUUCACAAAAUUUUCAAUUGAUUUUACACUUAUCAAUCAAAUGAAUCCUAAGGUAAGCUCAAAGGGGGUUAACUAAGGAUUACUCCUCACAAGGUUCGUUGAUUCAAAACUUUUAGGUCAAAUGGUUUUUCUCAACAAACAAUGCCUCUAUCAUUU